rnacentral:rRNA from 1 species
UACGUAGGGAGCAAGCGUUGUCCGGAAUCAUUGGGCUUAAAGCGCGUGUAGGCGGUCCGGUAAGUCCGCUGUGAAAGUCGGGGGCUCAACCCUCGAAUGCCGGUGGAUACUGUCGGGCUAGAGUGCGGAAGAGGCGAGUGGAAUUCCUGGUGUAGCGGUGGAAUGCGCAGAUAUCAGGAGGAACACCGAUGGCGAAGGCAGAUCUCUGGGCCGUAACUGACGCUGAGGAGCGAAAGCAUGGGGAGCGAACAGG